CACGUAGGGCGCAAGCGUUGUCCGGAAUUAUUGGGCGUAAAGAGCUUGUAGGCGGUUUGUCGCGUCUGCUGUGAAAAUCCGGGGCUCAACCCCGGACUUGCAGUGGGUACGGGCAGACUAGAGUGCGGUAGGGGAGACUGGAAUUCCUGGUGUAGCGGUGAAAUGCGCAGAUAUCAGGAGGAACACCGAUGGCGAAGGCAGGUCUCUGGGCCACUACUGACGCUGAGAAGCGAAAGCAUGGGGAGCGAACAGG
rnacentral:rRNA from 1 species